rnacentral:misc_RNA from 1 species
GUUUAACAUAUUUAUGCAUGAGACGGAUUUAUUUACUUAUUUUUUGUUUGAAAUGAAAAUACAGAUCGCUAUUGUUGGUUCUAAUUUACUUUAUAAGGUAACUUAACAUCAUUUUCUAAUUUCCUUUAUAGGGUAACUUAACAUCAUUUUAUUAACAUCAUUUUAAGGGAUUAGGAAUCAAAUUCCACUCGCACUCAGUUGCAGUGGGGAAUUACCCUCUGUGAUUAUGGAAUCUAGCUACUGUUUUCUUUCUCUUCUUCUUCUUCUU